rnacentral:rRNA from 1 species
UACAGAGGUCUCGAGCGUUAGGCGGAAUCACUGGGCUUAAAGCGUGUGUAGGCGGAUCGUUAAGUGCCUUGUGAAAUCCCACGGCUCAACCGUGGAACUGCUUGGCAUACUGGCGGUCUUGAGCAACCUAGGGGCGAGCGGAACAAAUGGUGGAGCGGUGAAAUGCGUAGAUAUCAUUUGGAACGCCAAUGGUGAAAACAGCUCGCUGGGGGUUUGCUGACGCUGAGACACGAAAGCCAGGGGAG